rnacentral:rRNA from 1 species
CAGGCCUAACACAUGCAAGUCGAGCGAGAAAGGGGAAACCCCGGUAAAGCGGCGCACGGGUGAGUAACACGUAGGUAAUCUACCCCCAGGUGGUGGAUAACCUUCCGAAAGGAGGGCUAAUACAGCAUAAGACCACGUCUUCGCAAGGAGAUGAGGUCAAAGCCGGCCUCUUCAUGAAAGCUGGCGCCGAGGGAUGAGCCUGCGGCCCAUCACGGUAGUUGGUAGGAUAAUGGCCUACCAAGCCUGCGAUCGGUCGCUGGUCUGAGAGGACGACCAGCCACACUGGGACUGAGACACGGCCCAGACUCCUACGGGAGGCAGCAGUGGGGAAUAUUGGGCAAUGGGCGAAAGCCUGACCCAGCAAUGCCGCGUGGGUGAAGAAGGUCUUCGGAUUGUAAAGCCCUUUCGGCGGGGACGAUGAUGACGUUAUCCGCAGAAGAAGCCCCGGCUAACUUCGUGCCAGCAGCCGCGGU